UACGGGGGGGGCGAGCGUUGUUCGGAAUUACUGGGCGUAAAGGGCUCGUAGGCGGCCAACUAAGUCAGACGUGAAAUCCCUCGGCUUAACCGGGGAACUGCGUCUGAUACUGGAUGGCUUGAAUCCGGGAGAGGGAUGCGGAAUUCCAGGUGUAGCGGUGAAAUGCGUAGAUAUCUGGAGGAACACCGGUGGCGAAGGCGGCAUCCUGGACCGGCAUUGACGCUGAGGAGCGAAAGCCAGGGGAGCAAACGGG
rnacentral:rRNA from 1 species